rnacentral:rRNA from 1 species
AUUGAACGCUGGCGGCAUGCUUUACACAUGCAAGUCGAACGGUAACAGGCCGCAAGGUGCUGACGAGUGGCGAACGGGUGAGUAAUACAUCGGAACGUGCCCGAGAGUGGGGGAUAACGAAGCGAAAGCUUUGCUAAUACCGCAUACGAUCCCAGGAUGAAAGCAGGGGACCGCAAGGCCUUGCGCUCACGGAGCGGCCGAUGGCAGAUUAGGUAGUUGGUGGGAUAAAAGCUUACCAAGCCGACGAUUUGUAGCUGGUCUGAGAGGACGACCAGCCACACUGGGACUGAGACACGGCCCAGACUCCUACGGGAGGCAGCAGUGGGGAAUUUUGGACAAUGGGCGCAAGCCUGAUCCAGCCAUGCCGCGUGCAGGAUGAAGGCCUUCGGGUUGUAAACUGCUUUUGUACGGAACGAAAAGACUCCUUCUAAUAAAGGGGGUCCAUGACGGUACCGUAAGAAUAAGCACCGGCUAACUACGUGCCAGCCGCCGCGGUAACAC